rnacentral:rRNA from 1 species
GGGGAAUAUUGGACAAUGGGGGGAACCCUGAUCCAGCCAUGCCGCGUGUGUGAAGAAGGCCUUAUGGUUGUAAAGCACUUUAAGCGAGGAGGAGGCUCUUUUGGUUAAUACCCAAGAUGAGUGGACGUUACUCGCAGAAUAAGCACCGGCUAACUCUGUGCCAGCAGCCGCGGUAAUACAGAGGGUGCAAGCGUUAAUCGGAAUUACUGGGCGUAAAGCGCACGUAGGCUGCUUUGUAAGUCAGGGGUGAAAUCCCACGGCUCAACCGUGGAACUGCCUUUGAUACUGCUUAGCUUGAAUCCGGGAGAGGGUGGCGGAAUUCCAGGUGUAGGAGUGAAAUCCGUAGAUAUCUGGAGGAACAUCAGUGGCGAAGGCGGCCACCUGGACCGGUAUUGACGCUGAGGUGCGAAAGCGUGGGGAGCAAACA